CUGGCUCAGGAUGAACGCUGGCGGCGUGCCUAACACAUGCAAGUCGAACGAAGCACUGGAGAACGGAGAUUCGUCAAAGUUUCCUCUGACUGAGUGGCGAACGGGUGAGUAAUGCGUGAGCAACCUGCCCUUCAGAGGGGGACAACAGUUGGAAACGACUGCUAAUACCGCAUGAUGUAUUUGGGUGGCAUCAUCUGAAUACCAAAGGAGAAAUCCGCUGAGGGAUGGGCUCACGUCUGAUUAGCUAGUUGGUAGGGUAACGGCCUACCAAGGCUGCGAUCAGUAGCCGGACUGAGAGGUUGAACGGCCACAUUGGGACUGAGAUACGGCCCAGACUCCUACGGGAGGCAGCAGUGGGGAAUAUUGGGCAAUGGGACCGAAAGCCUGACCCAGCAACGCCGCGUGAAGGAGGAAGGCCUUCGGGUUGUAAACUUCUUUUAAGAGGGACGAAGGACGUGACGGUACCUCUUGAAUAAGCCACGGCUAACUACGUGCCAGCCGCGGC
rnacentral:rRNA from 1 species